GUUUAGUUAUAUCUGAUUUGGCUUUAGAUGAUCUAAAUACAUUUGAGAUAGUUUUUUACCCCUUAGCUUCAUCUAUAUAAAUUUUUAUUUUAUAACAGUUCCAAAUUUUUAAAUCCAGUGCAUUUUCUCUUGAUAUUGUGUGGAUUUUGCUAAAACCAUUUCUAUCGUAUGAAAUGUUUUGACUUAUAAAUCAUUUCAUGUACUUUUCUGCCUGGACUAAUUAUUCAAAAUGUAUAUUUCAUUAGAAUUAAGCAAAAAUUUAAGUUCAUUCUGAGAGUACAGUAAGCCUCAUUGUAUGUGUGACCUAUAUUACUAGUCUUGUGUUUUUGUAUGCUAUGUUAUACUUGAUUUUAAAAAAUUAUAGGUUUAUACACACACAUUAAAUAUAUUUAAGUUGUUUCAAGUAUUUGAAGUUGUUGUGACUUUUCUGAAAUUGUUGCCUCUUAGAGUAUGAUACUUUAAGAUUAUUAACCAUUGACUCAAUGGGCAAUACUUGGGCUCAUAUAUCACUUGACUAUAAUAUGAAAUGUGUUUUAUGGCAUGUUGUCUUAUAGUUCUCUGUAACAUUAAGGUCUAAGAGAAAUGAAUAAACAGCCUUUUUAUGCUAAAGCCGAUUUUCUG
rnacentral:lncRNA from 1 species